rnacentral:lncRNA from 1 species
UAUUAUUAGGGAUUGAUAUAAUCCAAUUAUAUCAUGAAAUAUAUCAUUAUAGAUUUCCAUCCCUUGUAUAUAGACUUUAUCUCCCAUAUACAUUCUAUCUUCAUAUAAUGUAUUAAAGUCAUAACUUUAACGAAGAAGUAUUCUUUUCAUUUCCAAAAUUAAUAUAUCAUAUAUAUAUUUAAAUUUUAGGAACAUGAUUAACUCCCACUAAUCUUUUGUAAACCUAGUAAACAAAAGAUUCAUUUACAUAUUUAUGAGAAAUCAAACGAUUUGAUCCUUUUUCCUCAUAAAAUGCAAAUAGCUCCCACUAACUUGCUAAGAUCCAUGAUGGAUGGAUCUCUACAACUUUCAU